CAAAGACCACAGCUCUUAACCGCUACAGUACCAGCUGUUCCUACUUUAAGGCAAGUCAGAAGAUGAAGUUCAUUUUUACCAUAGUAAGUACAUCGCUCAUAUCCAUCUGCAUGCUGCCUGCAGGAAGGAUCCCUUUUGCACACAAUUUUAAAGAAAGCAUCGUGUCAAUGAUAGAUGAGGCAAUUAAAGCAAUCGCCGCACUGCCCAUUAAAACCGGUUAUUUACUACUCUGGAGUUCUGCUGCCGUGAGUAAGUAGUUUGAUGAAGAUGACGAAGAGCAAAGUCGGGUGAAUGGGACAGAGUCUGAUAUCAGAGAUAUUCUCCCAUCUAAUUUCACCGUAUUACACAGUUUGCGCUGGAACUGAUGGAAAAGCCCCAGAUGAGGGGAAACACUGUGGCUGCAGUUUAAACAAAAACCAAGACAGCAGCAGAGCUUCUAACUGUAAUGUUUGCAGCAGUAUUUGUCAAGGUUCAUGCUGUUUUCCUCUGGGUGCUCAGGUUUCCUCCCACCGUUCAAAGGCUAUGCCCUAAGAUACACUGGAAUCCCAUCCACAGAGUUCUACGCCCCACGGCCUAUAUUUCCAGGAUGGGCUCCAGACCACCAUGAUCCUGCAUUGUGGUUAUUAAUAAGACCGUGAGGGAUCAACGCACCCUACGCGCCCUCUACCCACACGUAAGGAAAAGUGUUUGCUGUGACAGUGACAUGGAUGCUGCUUGGAGAGGACAGGUGCACAGAUGCACCAGUGAGAAUGCACUCAGGGAUGUUUGAAGGUAUAGCCUCGAGCAUUUAUUCUCCUUAUUCUCCCCGCGUCCUGCUGACGCGGGCCGGCUCCACCCUGAGACACAAGACCACUCGGUCGAGGGUCCUUCAACUGCAUUGCUCUCCAUCGAAGGAGAGGAAGACUAUCCUGAUUCAGCAAAGGGAAACCGAACGCACUUGAGGCGAGUGACUGGAAGCGGAGCUUUCGGUCUGACAUCGCCAUGGUAACCAAAAGGCAAAGCACAGCCCUGUGAGUCACCCAGCCCUCUUACAACGCCUUUACAGGAGCAUUGGACCAUUGGACCUCCGAUGAAACCGGACGUUGCUUUUCUGUAGCUGCUAUCAUCUGCUAGACCUGGAAGGGUGUUUCCCGAGAUGUACACACUACCAGGUGUGGUAAAGAGGCGUGCAAAGGAGUAUCUGUUUCCUCCUCUUAGUUUUGCCACGCAGGCAACGAAAGGUUCUUCUCUGAAAACAAAAUCAUCUUGAAGAGAAAAGCGUCACAAAAAAAAAGCCACAAAGCGCAAAAUACCUUAAUAGCAGGGUACUGAAAGAGCUUUUUGUGGAGCGGUGGUGUGUUCGGGAGGCUCAUUUAAACGAACAUGUCCCUUUGUCCACGCUUGGCAAGCGACGAUGCAGCAGCACCACACUGACCAGAAGUGCGUGGGUAAUGGAAAGUGUUCUGGAUUACAGCUGCACGGGCAAGCGUACAGAAAGAGCACAUGAGGAGGAAAACAGCCAGGAAAAGGCUAUUUGGAGGGUCACCGAAUGCCCACUUUCCCAGUUACAGAACUUUACUGUAUACAACAUAGAAUGAGUUACCAUGCUGUGGCGCAGUGUCCAUGGGGAGGCCAGGAACCCACCCAUGUCCCUCUCAACGCUCUGUGACUCUCUGACUCUCUGACUCCGUGACUGACGCCCAACUGGAGAUUAAUUACCUUUGCAAAAUUAGUUUUAAAUGUUAAAGUACAUGUUCAAUUUGAAAUUUUGAGAAGAAAUGUCAGCCGCAGUUGAGACUGAUUUAUUGCUUAAGGUCACACGCGAUCUCUGGGGAGGUCACUCCUGCGAAUGUGGGGAACGCGGUACGGAUCGCUGGUAAAUCAGCGCAGCGGCGAUGGCUGGCGGCACUGGGAGAAUGGCACGCCACCUGACCGGGGACCUGGGCUGACCGCACAGUGCCGCAGGAACACGGAAUGCAGCCUAUCGUUUCGACUUAGAAAUACCUCGGGCAGCGAGGAGAACUUUGUUCGAAAAACUUUCUUUGUGGAAAACAUAAACCGUGUUCUUUUAUAUGUUACUGUCGAACAGCAGGGUGACAGUUGAGUUUGCUGGCCAUACAACAUGAACUCAACAGUAUUAACUCAGCCAGCGUAACAGUGAGAUGUCAUACGAAUCGCUGUCUCGAUAUCUGUCGCCUUUUACAUUUUCCUAGCAGUUCAGAAAUAUUAUACAACAACGUUUGCUCAUGUGGAGCGGCGUCACAUAAAAGCUCGACAACGCUGCAUAAACUCACUUACAAGCGUCCUAUCUGAGGAAC